rnacentral:misc_RNA from 1 species
GGAAAAAAUGAUCAUGAGAAUAAUGCAGAAUCAUGAUUGGCCAACAACACUAUAUGAUUUGAUAUGCAUAUUAGAAACUAAGCAAUCAUCAUCACUAUCAAAAGCUAAUAAAAAGGAAAUUUCUUAACCAUCCUUUACAAUGAAUUCAUUAUAAAUCAACUUUAGAGCUUACAUAGACCCUCAGCUCCAACUUCGUUUUGAAAUUUGGACUAUCAAGUACCAAGAGCUCACAUCAUGCCAAAGGGCAAUUACAGGUUGGCAUUAUAGAUGAAAGAUCAAGGCAACGACUGCUGCAACUUGCACCAAAAACUGUUUCUGAAUUCUGGGAAACCAGCUGAUCUCAAUUUCACAAGAUUAAAAACUGAGAUUUGUUUUCUCACAAAAUUAAGUAGAAAUUGCUUCUACCAUGUCAAACAUAAAAAUAGCAGAUUUACAGUACACAGUUUCUGCCAUCUGAAGUCAAGUUUAUGCUGUGCAAGCACCAUAGAAUAUUUAAGACGAAUUCUCAAAGAACCAAAUGGAUUCUAAGGGAUAAGAAUUUUAUCAAGCUAAUGAUUUAGAAUAAGAUGUAAGAUACUAAAGCAUGCAUAAACUGAAUUCUAAGACUAUCCAUAGCUGGUAAGCUCUUAUACAACUUUCUAGCGUGUAAUGGAUCUUAGACCAAAAAAAACUGAUCUACAGUGUCAUGCUGUGUUUUAGAAGCUACCAACCUGCUUUGAGACUCUCUUUAUGAUUUCAUCAUUUGGCAAGGGCAUGUAUGGAUCACCUGGUGUA